GUUGAAACACCAAUUCCCAUAUGAUCACUGAAGUCAAGCAAUCUCAAGCUUCAUCAGUACCUACAUGGGUGACCACUUGGGGAUACCAGGUGCUGUAAG